rnacentral:rRNA from 1 species
GAUGAACGCUGACAGAAUGCUUAACACAUGCAAGUCUUUGGCGAAGCUGCGCUUGCGCAGACGAGCCAAGGCGGACGGGUGAGUAACGCGUAAGGAACUUGCCCUGCAGACAGGGAUAACAGACGGAAACGACUGACAAGACCUGAUACAGUUGCCGGCACGAAUGUGCCUGGCGAUGAAAGGAGACGCUGCAGGAGAGCCUUGCGUCCUAUUAGCUUGUUGGCGGGGUAAUGGCCCACCAAGGCGAUGAUAGGUAGCCGGCCUGAGAGGGUGGACGGCCACAAGGGGACUGAGAUACGGCCCUUACUCCUACGGGAGGCAGCAGUGGGGAAUAUUGGACAAUGGGGGCAACCCUGAUCCAGCAAUUCUGUGUGCACGAAGAAGGUUUUCGAAUUGUAAAGUGCUUUCAGCAGGGAAGAAGAAAGUGACGGUACCUGCAGAAGAAGCGACGGUA